UACGGAGGUGGCAGGCGUUACUCGGAUUGAUUGGGUGUAAAGGGUGUGUAGGCGGUGCGCUAAGUCGAACGUGAAAUCCCUUGGCUUAACCAAGGAACUGCAUUCGAUACUGGCGUGCUUGAGUGAUGGAGAGGAAAGUGGAAUUCCCGGUGUAACAGUGAAAUGUGUAGAUAUCGGGAGGAACACCAGUGGCGAAGGCGACUUUCUGGACAUCUACUGACGCUGAAACACGAGAGCAUGGGGAGCAAACAGGAUUAGAUACCCGUGUA
rnacentral:rRNA from 1 species